CGCUGAUUGGUCGGCGGACCGGACUGAUUCUUAUCAGAUCAGUCUUCAAUAAUCAGUCAUGAUCCGAGCUCCACGUGCGCCUGAGACGGGGACCGGGACCCGACGGGACGCUCCACGCGGACGUGUCCGCGGGGCGACCAGUGAUAUUGGAAAAAAGACAAACGAAUGAAAAGCCACUCUGGAAACCUGCUGAAGCUGAAGCUCAAAAUGAAGACUAGUAAGAAAAUAGGGGGCGGGGCUUUAUUCAUGUUUGAAUGCCUUUGAGACUCCGAACGUUUAUUUCAGUUUUUCUUUGCUGACUCUGCAGACUGUAAUGGAGGCUCCGGCCAGCAGGGGGCAGCAGGUGGUUUUACCUGAAGUCAUUACAGCUGAAGUUCUGUGUCUGUGAAUGAUGCAUGCUGGGAAAACGGACCGCGAGCCGCUGUGACAUCGGCACAGGUGGCUCUGCUCUCUGAUUGGAUCCUGAGCUGUGAUGUCAUCGGUGGCGCCUCAGCCACAAAGUUUCCUGACGGUGUCCUGUGUGAGCGCGGUGUCGGGAUGGUCUGUGGCUGUGCCGCAGUAAAGAGGAGGAGUUCUGACCACGCCUCUCUGCGGUCUGUGAGCUCUGAUCCAGACUCCCCCAGCUGUGUCGUUCUGGCCAGUUUGGGACAAUUUGUUUUUAAUUUGCUGUUUAAAUGUUUUUAAACAGCCAAAUGCAGCAAAUCUCACACUGAUCAAAACUCUGCAAACUAAUGUUCAGUAUAUUUAUUUAUGCAUGGGAAUGAAAAAACUGGAAAUAAAUUAUUAAAUAUAUGAAUGAUUAAAUUACAAUUCUAUUAAUUUGACACACUUGUUCAAAUUUAAAUAGACUGGCGAGGAAAUGAUUAAGAUGUAAACCUGAGGGGGCUAAAUAAGUAUAAACAUAAGUGUAUACUUCUGCCUACUGCUUUUCAAACAGCUGAAUGGAUGAUGUUAUGGACUGUUGGUGAAUGUAUAUGUUCGAAAUAAAAAUGAACUGAACAUUGAAUAAAUUACUGAUUUACAAUUUAAAUUCA